rnacentral:rRNA from 1 species
AGAGUUUGAUCCUGGCUCAGAACGAACGCUGGCGGCGUGGAUAAGACAUGCAAGUCGAGCGCUGAUUACAGGGUAGCAAUAUUCUGUGGUCGGAGCGGCGCAAGGGUGCGUAACACGUGGGUAAUCUGCCGUGAAGUCGGGGACAACUUGCUGAAAGGCGAGCUAAUACCGGAUGCAAAAAUUGGAAGGCAUCUUCUGAUUUUCAAAGCUGGGGACCGUAAGGCCUGGCGCUUCAUGAUGAGCCCGCGGCCUAUCAGCUAGUUGGUGAGGUAACGGCUCACCAAGGCUAAGACGGGUAGCUGGUCUGAGAGGACGACCAGCCACACUGGAACUGAGACACGGUCCAGACACCUACGGGUGGCAGCAGUCGAGAAUUUUUCACAAUGGGCGAAAGCCUGAUGGAGCGACGCCGCGUGGGGGAUGAAUGGCUUCGGCCCGUAAACCCCUGUCAUUUGCGAUCAACCGUUAUUAUUUAAAAGAUGAUGACCUGAUAGUAGCGAAAGAGGAAGGGACGGCUAACUCUGUGCCAGCAGCCGCGGUAAUACAGAGGUCCCAAGCGUUGUUCGGAUUCACUGGGCGUAAAGGGUGCGUAGGUGGCGAGGUAAGUCGGAUGUGAAAGCUCGGAGCUCAACUCCGAAAUGGCAUUGGAAACUACCUUGCUUGAGGGAUGGAGGGGGGACUGGAAUUCUCGGUGUAGCAGUGAAAUGCGUAGAUAUCGAGAGGAACACCAGUGGCGAAGGCGAGUCCCUGGACAUCUCCUGACACUGAGGCACGAAAGCUAGGGGAGCAAACAGGAUUAGAUACCCUAGUAGUCC